rnacentral:lncRNA from 1 species
AGGGUAUAUACUUCCUCUACUCUGGACAACACAUCAGUUACUUGGGAGAUCAAGGGCAAAGAUCAAGUUGGGCAGGUUGUUUAACCUCUCUGAGAUUCCGUUGAUCUUAAAGUUUGUUUUAGAAUCAAGACCCCUUAAGUGCAUUUGAGCCCUAUAUUCUGUGAUCAUAAGCCCCCAAAAGUAGGUAGUAUAAGGAUUUCAGAGAAGCAGAGCUGCUGAGUGUGGAUCAGGCAGAAUUAGG